rnacentral:tRNA from 1 species
AGGGUUUAGCUCAGUGGUAGAGUGCGUGCUUAGCAUACACGAGGCCCUGGGUUCAACCCCCAGUCCUG